rnacentral:rRNA from 1 species
GAGCGUCAACCCUUGUCGUUAGUUGCUACAUUCAGUUGGGCACUCUGAUGAGACUGCCGGUGACAAGCCGGAGGAAGGUGGGGAUGACGUCAAGUCCUCAUGGCCCUUAUAGGUGGGGCUACACACGUCAUACAAUGGCUGGUACAAGGGUUGCCAACCGCGAGGGGGAGCUAAUCCCAUAAAGCCAGUCGUAGUCCGGAUCGUAGUCUGCAACUCGACUACGUGAAGUCGGAAUCGCUAGUAAUCGUGGAUCAGAAUGUCACGGUGAAUACGUUCCCGGGUCUU